rnacentral:lncRNA from 1 species
UCAAGUUUCCAUUUCACAAGUUUUCAAAUCACAUAGUUAACCAAUAUUUCAAAUAGAACAAACACAUAAAAUUCAUCAAAUAUACCACUAAAUAAAUUUAUUACAAUCUUUACAACACAGAUACACGUCUUCACACUUGGCUUCACAGUUCACAGCACCACGCUUGCUUCACACUUCACACUUCACACUUGAGCUUCUGUAAAAAAGGAACCAACACAAUUUUAAGUCUGCAAUACAACAAUUGAUACAAGGAUAAAAACAAAAUCAUGUAAUACACUCAAAUGUGAAGGCAGCAUGGAACUAGUAAUACGACAACAUGCAGAAAACACUACAAUGUAAUAUUGUUGUAAGUUCAUAUCAGCGCAAAAUCAGCACUGCAUAAUGCAGCACAUAACAAUUGGUACUAAGUUGAUCAAGAACAACAGGUGAUGCUAAUAGCACCCAUACUCUCAAAUUCAGUACUAAGUUGCUACAUGAAAGCAGAGCAGAGAACAAGAAACAAAGAUGUUACAUGUCACAGUUGCUUGCAAUGUAAAACUUCAAUUAAACACACGCUCACACACAGAAUGCAUACCGAAGCUGAGAGUUUGGAACACACCUAAGCCGUUGUUGAAAUACACGAUCAGAAUAAUCACUUAAGCAAACAAACAAACAA